GAAUGGUAUCUACCGCAGAAGGUUUGCAGUGAGGAUUGAAGAAGUUACUAUGCACGAGGCACUUAGAAAAGUGACUGGCACCAAAGUUCUUAUGAAAGUUCGCUACUAUGUAAAAAUAAUAUCGGCCUUAUUUUGUAGAUGGCUUCAUGAGGUUGUGGCUUGUUCAAGACCAGAUAGCUGUAAGAAUCAAACAAAGCUCAGAUUUAUUUAUCUAUGAUUUUUAUUUCAAAAUAUUAGGGGGUGAAAGUGUUCUUGUUACAUGGAUGAGUUGUAUAGUGCUGAAGUCAAGGCUAAAGCUCAGAUUUAAACCAAGUUUGUUCAACCUUAAAUCCUAAGUUAUUUACAUAAUAACUAAUAUAUUGUUCUUUAUAAAGUUCUCAAAGAAAAUCAUGGUACGUGUAAAGAGCUUUGUGCUGGGGCUGGCAUAUAAUAAGUGUGUGCUUGUUGCCAUGUUUAUUGUUGCUGUUAUUGUUACUAGUAUUAUUGCUACUACUGUUAUUAUUGCUUUGGUUAGUGGAGACAAAACACAACAAUAUGGGAUGAAAUAUGAAACAUUGUUACUGCUUUUAAAUGUUAAGCCUUCUUAACCAAAUAACAUUUUACUGUCUUUUAAUAGACACCGCUGUUUCUCCUCUUCCUGUAACUACUGUGAAAUCAGUUAACUUUAGACAAAGUGACAACACUUCUGCUAAUGAGAAGGAGGUGGAGGCAGAAUUUCUCAGGUUAUCUUUGGGAUUUAAGUGCGACUGGUUUACGUUGGAGAAAAGAGUGAAACUUGAAGAGAGAUCCCGGGACUUGGCAGAAGACAAUUUGAAGAAAGAAAUUACUAACUGUCUAAAGCUAUUAGAGGUGAGAAUCAGAACAUUUAGGAGUCUAAACAUUUGGUUAUAUUUUUAAUAAUGUUUUUGUGUGAUGAUCUAUGAGUUUGUGUGUACGACCCACACCGAUACCAGCUACCAAGCCCUGCCUGACUCAUGUGAACUAACAGAGAGAAUUCAGGAUCAGGCUGAAAUACAAGUUUCACUAUUAGGAGAAUAUCAGCAAUAAAAUAACAAAAUGUCCUUUAAAAUGUUGUAUGAGUCAUCUGCC